AAAGGGAGACCUAAUUCAGGUAAAAGACGAAAAAAAAGUAGUCGCUACCAAGAAUCAAUCCCAAAAGGUCGGAGCGAGGCGAAAUUGGCUUUCAAACUAGGUUCUGGGUUCAAACAAGACCUGAAUCAGGAACAAGGGCUAUUAGCUCAGGUGGUUAGAGCGCACCCCUGAUAAGGGUGAGGUCCCUGGUUCGAGUCCAGGAUGGCCCACCUGCACAGGUGGCAAAAACAAGAGAAGCGAGGAAUCAGCACCUUAUCUUACUUAUAUAGUAAGAGAGAAUGCUGGCUCUGAGUAAAGAGUCCAGAGGACCCUUGAAAACUGCAUAGAGCUAGGUGAAAAAGCCAAAAAAGAAGACCGCAAG
rnacentral:tRNA from 1 species